rnacentral:rRNA from 1 species
UACGGAGGAUGCAAGCGUUAUCCGGAAUGAUUGGGCGUAAAGCGUCCGCAGGUGGCUAUGUAAGUCUGCUGUUAAAGAGUCUAGCUCAACUAGAUAAGAGCAGUGGAAACUACAGGGCUAGAGUACGUUCGGGGCAGAGGGAAUUCCUGGUGUAGCGGUGAAAUGCGUAGAGAUCAGGAAGAACACCAGUGGCGAAGGCGCUCUGCUAGGCCGUAACUGACACUGAGGGACGAAAGCUAGGGGAGCGAAUGGG